UUUUCCUUUACUCAAACAUACAGUAUGCUUUUCUAGAGUUUUUUCCCUUUAAAAAAAAUAACAAAUUAAAUUUGGAAUGCAAAAAUGCAAAAACAUACGGAAUGAAAAAUGCUCAUCUAGCUAUGAAUUGAAAUAGUGCACACAUCACUUACUUUCUUUCUCAUCUUAACUCAUCAGCAAAAUCAUUCAAACUCUAUCCGAUUUAACACAAAGUUGAAGUUUCAGAUCCAAUGCUACCAAUUAAUUAUGCCUAAAGUAUCUCAAAAUCAGAGAACAGGGACAUACCUUGCGAUUUGCCGGCGUUUUCCUCGCCACCACCGAAGCCGUUUUACCUCUCCUAGCCUUCACUCCCUUCGCCGCCGCUGCCGGAGCUUGUCCCGCCUUAGCUGCUCCUGGAUCUCCCAUACUCGUCGGCCGACCACUUUAACUCCCAUUCGCUUCUCUUCUAGCCGAAUUAUGGGUGGAGCGGAGGUGGAGCACCACGGGUAUCAUUGCCGGAAUUAUGGGUUGAGCGGAGGUGGAGCAGCACGGGUCAUCAUUGCGGGUCUGACAUUUCUCUUUUUUGCCGGAAUUCUAGGUUUAGCGUAGGCCCUUUUUUUGGAAUUCUAGGUUGAAGGUGGCCGGAAAUUUUUGCUGGAUUCUGGGUUGAAGGUGCCUGAAUCUGGUUGUUGGGUGUAUUUACCUCUACUGUAUUGAUGGAGGGAGUUGGAUUGAUGGGGUAAAAAAUGUAAAAAAGUAAAGGGGUAAAUAUAGAGAGGAGUAGUUGUGGAAUUUAAUAGGGCGAGUGAGUAUUUAUGGGGCGGAGUUUAGCGCUCCACCUUUUAAUAUUGUAAGACCAUGUGCAUCCUUGACCUUCGGUCAAGUGUCAAAUAAUAUAUAUCUCUCAUCCUUCUCCUUCUUCCACCUCA